rnacentral:rRNA from 1 species
GUGUAAGUUAAGUGGAAAAGGAUGUGGGAUUUCUAAGACAACUAGGAUGUUGGCUCAGAAGCAGCCACUCAUUCAAAGAGUGCGUAAUAGCUCACUAGUCGAGAGAUCCUGCGCCGAAGAUGUCCGGGGCUCAAACUUACCACCGAAGCUACGGGUUCACACAUUAGUGUGAGCGGUAGAGGAGCGUCGUAAUCGGGUUGAAGUCGUACCGUAAGGAGCGGUGGACUGAUUACGAGUGAGAAUGUUGGCAUUAGUAGCGAGAUGUAAGUGAGAAUCUUACAGGCCGAAUAUCUAAGGUUUCCUGAGUAAAGUUUGUCUUCUCAGGGUUAGUCGGGACCUAAGGCGAGGCCGAAAGGCGUAGUCGAUGGACAAUUGGUUGAUAUUCCAAUACCACUACAAUCGUUAUUAUCGAUGGUGUGACGGAGAAGGAUAGGAUGUGCCAGCUAUUGGAUGCUGGUCUAAGCGUUUAGGGAGUUAGAAUAGGCAAAUCCGUUCUAACAAUUCUGAGGCGUGAUGGGGAAGGUUCUACGGAACCGAAGUAUCUGAUUCCAUGCUUCCAAGAAAAGCAUCUAGAAAGAGAAGUAGUGCCCGUACCGCAAACCGACACAGGUAGAUGAGGAGAGAAUCCUAAGGCCGACGGAAGAAUUGCAGUUAAGGAACUAGGCAAAUUGACCCCGUAACUUCGGGAGAAGGGGUGCCUGAGAAAUCAGGCCGCAGAGAAUAGGCACAAGCAACUGUUUAACAAAAACACAGGUCUCUGCUAAAGCGUAAGCUGAUGUAUAGGGGCUGACGCCUGCCCGGUGCUGGAAGGUUAAGGGGAAUGCUUAGCAGCAAUGCGAAGGUGUGAACUUAAGCCCCAGUAAACGGCGGCCGUAACUAUAACGGUCCUAAGGUAGCGAAAUUCCUUGUCAGGUAAGUUCUGACCCGCACGAAAGGCGUAAUGAUUUGGGCACUGUCUCAACAACAAAUCCGGCGAAAUUGUAGUGCCAGUGAAGAUGCUGGCUACCCGCGAUUGGACGGAAAGACCCCGUAGAGCUUUACUGUAGCUUAGCAUUGAAUUUCGGUAUUGUCUGUACAGGAUAGGUGGGAGACUGAGAAACAUGGGCGUCAGCCUGUGUGGAGUCAACCUUGGGAUACCACCCUGACAGUACUGAGGUUCUAACUGGAGGCCAUGAAUCUGGUCACAGGACAUUGUUAGGUGGGCAGUUUGACUGGGGCGGUCGCCUCCUAAAAGGUAACGGAGGCGCCCAAAGGUUCCCUCAGCGCGGUUGGAAAUCGCGCGAAGAGUGCAAAGGCAGAAGGGAGCCUGACUGCGACACUUACAAGUGGAGCAGGGACGAAAGUCGGGCUUAGUGAUCCGGUGGUUCCUCGUGGGAGGGCCAUCGCUCAACGGAUAAAAGCUACCCCGGGGAUAACAGGCUGAUCUCCCCCAAGAGUCCACAUCGACGGGGAGGUUUGGCACCUCGAUGUCGGCUC